rnacentral:rRNA from 1 species
AGAGUUUGAUCCUGGCUCAGAACGAACGCUGGCGGCGUGCCUAACACAUGCAAGUCGAGCGCGAAUGGAGCAAUCCUAGUAGAGCGGCGCACGGGUGAGUAACACGUGGGUAAUCUGCCUGGAAGUUCGGGACAACCUGCCGAAAGGCUGGCUAAUACCGGAUAAGCCCACAGGGUCCUCGGACCCCGAGGGAAAAGAUGGCCUCUGCAUGCAAGCUAUCGCUUCUAGAUGAGCCCGCGGCCCAUCAGCUUGUUGGCGGGGUAAUGGCCCACCAAGGCUACGACGGGUAGCUGGUCUGAGAGGACGAUCAGCCACACUGGAACUGAGACACGGUCCAGACUCCUACGGGAGGCAGCAGUGGGGAAUUUUGCGCAAUGGGCGAAAGCCUGACGCAGCAACGCCGCGUGUGUGAUGAAGGUCUUCGGAUCGUAAAGCACUUUCGACCGGGACGAAAACCCGCUGGCCAAUAUCCAGCGGACUGACGGUACCGGGAGAAGAAGCACCGGCUAACUCUGUGCCAGCAGCCGCGGUAAUACAGAGGGUGCAAGCGUUGUUCGGAAUUAUUGGGCGUAAAGCGCGUGUAGGCGGCCUUGC